ACGAACGCUGGCGGCGUGCUAAACACCUGCAAGUCGAACGGAAAGGCCCUGCUUUUGUGGGGUGCUCGAGUGGCGAACGGGUGAGUAACACGUGAGUAACCUGCCCUUGACUUUGGGAUAACUUCAGGAAACUGGGGCUAAUACCGGAUAGGAGCUCCUGCUGCAUGGUGGGGGUUGGAAAGUUUCGGCGGUUGGGGAUGGACUCGCGGCUUAUCAGCUUGUUGGUGGGGUAGUGGCUUACCAAGGCUUUGACGGGUAGCCGGCCUGAGAGGGUGACCGGCCACAUUGGGACUGAGAUACGGCCCAGACUCCUACGGGAGGCAGCAGUGGGGAAUAUUGCACAAUGGGCGGAAGCCUGAUGCAGCAACGCCGCGUGCGGGAUGACGGCCUUCGGGUUGUAAACCGCUUUCGCCUGUGACGAAGCGUGAGUGACGGUAAUGGGUAAAGAAGCACCGGCUAACUACGUG
rnacentral:rRNA from 1 species